rnacentral:rRNA from 1 species
GACGAACGCUGGCGGCGUGCCUAAUACAUGCAAGUCGAACGCAGUGGGGACGGGUGAGGAAUACGUGGGCAACAUCCCAUCAGAGGGGAUAACACUUGGAAACAGGUGCUAAACCGAUACUGAUGGAUGGACCCGCGGUGCAUUAGCUAGUUGGUGGGGUAACGGCGCACCAAGGCCACGAUGCCUAGCCGGUCUGAGGGGGUGGUCGGCCAAACUGGGACUGAGACACGGACCAGACUCCUACGGGAGGCAGCAGUAGGGAAUCUUCGGCAAUGGGCGAAAGUCUGACCGAGCAACGCCGCGUGAGUGAAGAAGGUUUUCGGGUCGUAAAACUCUGGUGUUAGAGAAGCGGUAUCUAACCAGAAAGCCACGGCUAACUACGUGCCAGCAGCCGCGGUAAUUC